ACUCAACACGAAUUCUUUAAAAAGGGUGAGUUGAAGUUGUAAAAGCGAGCCGUCUUUGAGCGGAUACUUGACCAGCUUGUUAGCCCUAAACAUUCAUUUUAAGGAGUUU
rnacentral:sRNA from 3 species